rnacentral:rRNA from 1 species
GACGAACGCUGGCGGCGCGCCUAACACAUGCAAGUCGAACGAGAGAUGAGGAGCUUGCUCUUCAAAUCGAGUGGCGAACGGGUGAGUAACGCGUGAGGAACCUGCCUCAAAGAGGGGGACAACAGUUGGAAACGACUGCUAAUACCGCAUAAGCCCACGGCUCGGCAUCGAGCAGAGGGAAAAGGAGUAAUCCGCUUUGAGAUGGCCUCGCGUCCGAUUAGCUAGUUGGUGAGGUAAUGGCCCACCAAGGCGACGAUCGGUAGCCGGACUGAGAGGUUGAACGGCCACAUUGGGACUGAGACACGGCCCAGACUCCUACGGGAGGCAGCAGUGGGGAAUAUUGCACAAUGGGGGAAACCCUGAUGCAGCGACGCCGCGUGGAGGAAGAAGGUCUUCGGAUUGUAAACUCCUGUUGUUGAGGAAGAUAAUGACGGUACUCAACAAGGAAGUGACGGCUA